CAGCAGCCGCGGGAAUACGUAGGGUGCAAGCGUUAAUCGGAAUUACUGGGCGUAAAGCGUGCGCAGGCGGUCCGUUAAGACAGAUGUGAAAUCCCCGGGCUUAACCUGGGAACUGCAUUUGUGACUGGCGGGCUAGAGUAUGGCAGAGGGGGGUAGAAUUCCACGUGUAGCAGUGAAAUGCGUAGAGAUGUGGAGGAAUACCGAUGGCGAAGGCAGCCCCCUGGGCCAAUACUGACGCUCAUGCACGAAAGCGUGGGGAGCAAACAGGAUUAGAUACCCCAGUAGUCCCUGUCUCUUAUAA
rnacentral:rRNA from 1 species